rnacentral:rRNA from 1 species
CAAUGAAAGGUGAAGGACGGUGUUUGGAGCCGUCUCAGUUGCGAUCGUGUUCUUUGAUGGGCAUGCGCAGCAACGGCCCGUCCUAAUCGCUUUGUCGAUGGGGCGGAGCAUGAGCGUACACGUUGGGACCCGAAAGAUGGUGAACUAUGCCUGGGCAAGGUGAAGCCAGGGGAAACUCUGGUGGAGGUCUGUAGCGAUUCUGACGUGCAAAUCGAUCGUCAGACCUAGGUAUAGGGGCGAAAGACUAAUCGAACCAUCUAGUAGCUGGUUCCUUCCGAAGUUUCCCUCAGGAUAGCUGGCGCUCGGAGAAACCAGUCUCAUCCGGUAAAGCGAAUGAUUAGAGGCCUUGGGGCCGAAACGACCUCAACCUAUUCUCAAACUUUCAAUGGGUGGAGGAAAACCGGCUUGGCGGUGGACUGAAGGCCCGGUUACA